rnacentral:lncRNA from 1 species
CGUUGGUCAUUAUGUGAGUGGAAAUGAAAAAGGUUAGGAACUGAAUGAUCAAAGGCAGGGUAGAAACCCCCAGCUGAGAUUAAAUAAUUACUACAACACAGACCUGCUGAGGCUGAGAGUAUGGGACACUUCUGGAACUCGAGUCUUCUCAUGGCUUGGAUCCAACUAAAGCAAGAGACCAGGCCAACCCAUGGGUACAUUCUCAUGCUGCAAACAUCACCAGAAGGAGAAAUCCAGGGCUGAAAUCCUGCACAGGACACCAGGCUGGAUCUGUAUCCAGGAAACUGCAUGUGCCUCAACAUGGGCAGAUGUUUCCUA